rnacentral:lncRNA from 1 species
CUGAGACCUGGACAACCAGGUGAGGAGAGUUCCUUACUGAGACCUAGACAACCAGGUGAGGGGAGACCUAGACAACCAGGUGAGGAGAGUUCCUUACUGAGACCUAGACAACCAGGUGAGGGGAGGUCCUUACUGAGACCUAGACAACCAGGUGAGGGGUGUUCCUUACUGAGACCUAGACAACCAGGUGAGGGGUGGUCCUUACUGAGACCUAGACAACCAGGUGAGGGGAGUUCCUUACUGAGACCUAGACAACCAGGUGAGGAGAGACCUAGACAACCAGGUGAGGGGAGUUCCUUACUGACACCUAGAUAACCAGGUGAGGAGAGUUCCUUACUGAGACCUAGACAACCAGGUGACCGGAGUUCCUUACUGAGACCUAGAGAACCAGGUGAGGGGAGUUCCUUACUGAGACCUAGACAACCAGGUGAGGAGAGUUCCUUACUGAGACCUAGACGACCAGGUGAGGAGAGUUCCUUACUGAGACCUAGACAACCAGGUGAGGGGAGUUCCUUACUGAGACCUAGACAACCAGGUGAGGGGAGUUCCUUACUGAGACCUAGACAACCAGGUGAGGGGAGUUCCUUACUGAGACCUAGACAACCAGGUGAGGAGAGUUCCUUACUGAGACCUAGACAACCAGGUGAGGGGCGUUCCUUACUGAGACCUAGACAACCAGGUGAGGAGAGUUCCUUACUGAGACCUAGACAACCAGGUGAGGGGAGUUCCUUACUGAGACCUAGACAACCAGGUGAGGAGAGUUCCUUACUGAGACCUAGACAACCAGGUGAGGAGAGUUCCAUACUGAGACCUAGACGACCAGGUGAGGAGAGACCUAGACAACCAGGUGAGGAGAGGUCCUUACUGAGACCUAGACAACCAGGUGAGGAGAGUUCCUUACUGAGACCUAGACAACCAGGUGAGGAGAGUUCCUUACUGAGACCUAGACAACCAGGUGAGGAGAGUUCCUUACUGAGACCUAGACAACCAGGUGAGGAGAGUUCCUUACUGAGACCUAGACAACCAGGUGAGGGGAGUUCCUUACUGAGACCUAGACAACCAGGUGAGGAGAGUUCCUUACUGAGACCUAGACAACCAGGUGAGGAGAGGUCCUUACUGAGACCUAGACAACCAG